rnacentral:lncRNA from 1 species
GGAGAUCUAGUGAGCAUACGGCAUUUGUCAGGCCACGGUCAACCCAUCAUGGAUAACAUCUUGAAUCUCACAAUGAAUAAAGUCGCUCCCAGAUCAUACCAAUCACAGUGGAAUAAUACAACAGUUCGAUUUAUGCCACGCCCUAAUGAGUUAUACCGUAGCUCAAUAAUUUCUUUUAGACAACCAUAAAACUCAAAUGGCUCACUGUUAUGAAAGCCUGCAACCAUAAUCCCACUGUUCUAAGUCUUCCUAUUUUCC